CAGUCGCCGCGGGAAUACGGAGGGCGCGAGCGUUACCCGGAUUUACUGGGCGUAAAGGACGUGUAGGCGGCCUGGGGCGUCCCAUGUGAAAGGCCACGGCUCAACCGUGGAGGAGCGUGGGAUACGCUCAGGCUAGAGGGUGGGAGAGGGUGGUGGAAUUCCCGGAGUAGCGGUGAAAUGCGCAGAUACCGGGAGGAACGCCGAUGGCGAAGGCAGCCACCUGGUCCACUUCUGACACUGAGGCGCGAAAGCGUGGGGAGCAAACCGGAUUAGAUACCCCAGUAGUCCCUGUCUCUUAUAC
rnacentral:rRNA from 1 species